rnacentral:rRNA from 1 species
GUGCCAGCAGCCGCGGUAAUACAGAGGGGGCAAGCGUUGUCCGGAUUUACUGGGCGUACAGCGCGCGCAGGCGGACCUGGACGUGCCGUGUGACAGCCCACCGCUCACCGGUGGAAGGCCACGGUACACGACAGGUCUGGAGGCAGGGAGAGGGAUGUGGAAUGCCCGGUGGAGCGGUGAAAUGCGUAGAGAUCGGGCGGAACACCAGCGGCGAAGGCGGCAUCCUGGCCCUGACCUGACGCUGAGGCGCGAGAGCGUGGGGAGCAAACUGGAUUAGAUACCCCCGUAGUCC